rnacentral:rRNA from 1 species
GAUGAACGCUGGCGGCGUGCCUAAUACAUGCAAGUCGAGCGAGCGGACGAGAAGCUUGCUUCUCUGAUGUUAGCGGCGGACGGGUGAGUAACACGUGGAUAACCUACCUAUAAGACUGGGAUAACUUCGGGAAACCGGAGCUAAUACCGGAUAAUAUUUUGAACCGCAUGGUUCAAUAGUGAAAGACGGUCUUGCUGUCACUUAUAGAUGGAUCCGCGCUGCAUUAGCUAGUUGGUAAGGUAACGGCUUACCAAGGCAACGAUGCAUAGCCGACCUGAGAGGGUGAUCGGCCACACUGGAACUGAGACACGGUCCAGACUCCUACGGGAGGCAGCAGUAGGGAAUCUUCCGCAAUGGACGAAAGCCUGACGGAGCAACGCCGCGUGAGUGAUGAAGGUCUUCGGAUCGUAAAACUCUGUUAUUAGGGAAGAACAUAUGUGUAAGUAACUGUGCACAUCUUGACGGUACCUAAUCAGAAAGCCACGGCUAACUACGUG